AUACGUAGGGUGCAAGCGUUAAUCGGAAUUACUGGGCGUAAAGCGUGCGCAGGCGGUUUUGUAAGACAGAGGUGAAAUCCCCGGGCUCAACCUGGGAACUGCCUUUGUGACUGCAAGGCUAGAGUACGGCAGAGGGGGAUGGAAUUCCGCGUGGAGCAGUGAAAAGCGUAGAUAUGCGGAGGAACACCGAUGGCGAAGGCAAUCCCCUGGGCCUGUACUGACGCUCAUGCACGAAAGCGUGGAGAGCAAACAGGAUUAGAUACCCUGGUAGUCCACGCCCUAAACGAUGUCAACUGGUUGUUGGGUCUUCAUUGACUCAGUAACGAAGCUAACGCGUGAAGUUGACCGCCUGGGGAGUACGGCCGCAAGACUGAAACUCAAAUGAAUUGACGGGG
rnacentral:rRNA from 1 species